rnacentral:rRNA from 1 species
ACCAGACUCCUACGGGAGGCAGCAGUAGGGAAUCUUUCACAAUGGGCGAAAGCCUGAUGGAGCAACGCCGCGUGCAGGAUGAAGGCCUUCGGGUUGUAAACUGCUUUUAUAAGAGAGAAAUAUGAUGGUAACUUAUGAAUAAGGAUCGGCUAACUACGUGCCAGCAGCCGCGGUAAUACGUAGGGGGCAAGCGUUAUCCGGAUUUACUGGGUGUAAAGGGAGCGUAGACGGCAGCGCAAGUCUGGAGUGAAAUGCCGGGGCCCAACCCCGGAACUGCUCUGGAAACUGUGAAGCUGGAGUGCAGGAGAGGUAAGCGGAAUUCCUGGUGUAGCGGUGAAAUGCGUAGAUAUCAGGAGGAACACCGGCGGCGAAGGCGGCUUACUGGACUGUAACUGACGUUGAGGCUCGAAGGCGUGGGGAGCAAACAGGAUUAGAUACCCCUGUA